UACGUAGGGUGCGAGCGUUGUCCGGAAUUAUUGGGCGUAAAGAGCUCGUAGGCGGUGUGUCACGUCGAUCGUGAAAACUUGGGGCUUAACUCUGAGCUUGCGGUCGAUACGGGCAUCACUGGAGUUCGGCAGGGGAGACUGGAAUUCCUGGUGUAGCGGUGAAAUGCGCAGAUAUCAGGAGGAACACCGGUGGCGAAGGCGGGUCUCUGGGCCGGUACUGACGCUGAGGAGCGAAAGCAUGGGGAGCGAACAGG
rnacentral:rRNA from 1 species